rnacentral:rRNA from 1 species
GACGUCAAGUCAUCAUGGCCCUUACGGCCAGGGCUACACACGUGCUACAAUGGUCGGUACAAAGGGUUGCCAAGCCGCGAGGUGGAGCUAAUCCCAUAAAACCGAUCGUAGUCCGGAUCGCAGUCUGCAACUCGACUGCGUGAAGUCGGAAUCGCUAGUAAUCGUGAAUCAGAAUGUCACGGUGAAUACGUUCCCGGGCCUUGUACACACCGCCCGUCACACCAUGGGAGUGGGUUGCUCCAGAAGUAGCUAGUCUAACCGCAAGGGGGACGGUUACCACGGAGUGAUUCAUGACUGGGGUGAAGUCGUAACAAGGUAACCAAGGGCGAAUUCGCGGC